GAACUGAAUUUCAGGGACUAAACAUUGCUUACUGUAUUUAAGGCUUAGUCACAUGUACCUGUUCAGAGGGUUGACCCCUUAUGGGUUCUACAGGUUUUUGGGUUGUCCAGGUCUGUGUGUGUGUGUGUGUGUGUGUGUGUGUGGGGGGGGGGGUCAUGGAGAUCUUCAGGAGAGAUCAGGUGUAUCUUACAGUUCCCUUCAGGCUCAUACGACCACCUCAAGGGACGUCAUGAAAAUGGAGCAUACCAUUGUUGUGGGUCUGGUCACAGAAAUUUGCUGAUGCCUCUGACAGAAAGUGACAACCAUGACAUCAAAUUCAACCACAAGAAUACAUCUGGGAGUUCACAGUAGGAGGCGGAGUCACACCAUUCCCAAUACUCAGACAAAGAAGGAACUAAAUGAUCUGGAUUCUUUCAUUCCUAAUCCUCAUCUGGUGCAACUGUCAGAGGAUCUCCAGACGAACUCCAUCAUGUUAAAGCAACUAGGAAUGUAUUUAGCAUAAAACAAUUGAAACAGGUCACAGAACUGAAAAGCUUUUCUCAUCAGAGUUUCAGUGUGUCUUUCUUUGUGUGCGCCUCAAAAACACAUUUCCAUGUCGAGCGCAAAAGUGCGCUUGGUGCCCUGAAAACGUUUAGAUGGGACAGAUAAGAUCAUGUCUGAUCCCACACAGAGAAACGGCAGCGAUCUCGGGUGUGAUCUGUGGUGCAGAUAUGAAACAAAUGCAGAAGACGGAGAGAAGUAGUUCACGGCAAACAGUGGGUGAACACAAUGUCAAAACUUCUGGAGUUUCCCUUCAGUUUUAGUUUUUAAACUUCAGCUAAAAAGGUGAAACGAGUCUGAGGGGCACACAUAUGUUUCAAUCAAAAGAUGUCUUUUGCUUAUUUUCUAUUGUUCGACUGACAUGCUAGCUGCUAGCAUGUCUCCAGCUAUGGAUUCUUUCCUAGAUGGGUCUUAGAGUUACUGCGCAGAUUAGCAUUGUGUCCACUUUGUCAUCAUUUGAUCAGAUAAUUCCUAAAAAAAAAAGUUGAUAAACAACUGAUGCUAACGGCCGAUGCUAAGGUCUGAAGCUAAACUCUGAUGAAAAUAGACACAUUUCCAUGUCCAUUGCAUAAGUGCACUAGCACCUAUGUUUUCCCUGACAACCGUUUUCUGACCAGGCUGCGGCCUGGUCUGUUCAUUAUCUGUCAAAUAGAUCCCAAUCUAUACAAAUAUCUGGCUCCACCUCUCCUGCUCACAAGGUCAAAAUAGGUGUGCCACAGGGUUCGGUUCUUGGACCUAUUCUAUUCUCAUCUAUUUCAACAACUUAUGUCAAUACUUAUCAAAUGCAUCCUUUUUUUGCAGACAAUACUGUCAUUUAUUGUUGUUAUUGUCUCGGUCAAUCUGACAAGGAUUUGAGUUUUUACAGUCUGCUUUUUAACGUUGUUCAGUCUCGUCUUCGGUCACUAAAAAUGAUCUUAAAUGCAGGAAAAACCAAAGUGAU
rnacentral:lncRNA from 1 species